AUUGAACGCUGGCGGCAGGCCUAACACAUGCAAGUAGGACGCAGUUGCGAACGGGUGAGUAACGCGUAGGUAACUACCAAAUAGCGGGGGAUAACUAUUGGAAACGAUAGCUAAUACCGCAUAUUAGUAGAUGGACCUGCGGUGUAUUAGCUAGUAGGUAGGGUAAAGGCCUCCCUAGGCAACGAUACUUAGCCGACCUGAGAGGGGGAUAGUGCACAAGGGGACUGAGACACGGCCAAGACUACUACGGGAGGCAGGAGUAGGGAAUCUGAGGUAAAGGGGGAAACCCUGACCGAGCAACGGCGCGUUAGUGAAGAAGGUUUUAGGAUCGUAAAGCUCUGUUGUGAAGGAAGCGGUGCUUAAACAGAAAGGGACGGCUAACUACGUGCCAGCAGGCGCGGUAGUAC
rnacentral:rRNA from 1 species